UACAGAGGGUGCGAGCGUUAAUCGGAAUUACUGGGCGUAAAGCGUGCGUAGACGGUUUCGUAAGUCGGGUGUGAAAUCCCCGGGCUCAACCUGGGAAUUGCAUUCGAAACUGCGAGGCUAGGGUACGGAAGAGGGAAGCGGAAUUUCCGGUGUAGCGGUGAAAUGCGUAGAUAUCGGAAGGAACACCAGUGGCGAAAAGCGGCUUCCUGGUCCAGCACCGACGUCAGGCACGAAAGCGUGGGGAGCAAACAGG
rnacentral:rRNA from 1 species